AUCAGUAGCCGACCUGAGAGGGUGAUCGGCCACAUUGGAACUGAGACACGGUCCAAACUCAUACGGGAGGCAGCAGUGGGGAAUAUUGCACAAUGGGCGCAAGCCUGAGGCAGCAACGCCGCGAGAGGGAUGCAGGCCUCAGGGUCGUUAAAACCUUUCCGCAAGGAAGAUAAUGGCGGUACUGGAGGAGGAAGCCACGGCUAACUACGUGCCAGCAGCCGCGGUAA
rnacentral:rRNA from 1 species